GGAGGAAGCGCGCGGGGGGAGCGCGCCCUCGCCCUGGCCCCUCCGAGCCUCCGACUAGUCCUUGCAACUUCGGGGCCUGGCCACCGGGAAAAGUUGGCCCGUGCCAGCUGGCCGACGGGGAUCAAACAGGCCUCAGAUGAGCUGUGAAGCAGCUGAGGGCAUCUGCUCUCAAGAGGCAUCUCCAGGAGAGACACAGAAACCCAAACAGAUGUGACUGUGAUGAGUAAAAAUGAGAGAAUUCAGACAGCCUGUAUCAGGAGCAGCCUCGGUACCUUCUGCGCAGGAAGGAAUUGGCCGUCUUUCUGAAACUCCGAAAAUGAGAGAUUUCAAACACCCGUCCUUCGUGAAGACACCUCGCAGGAUCGGGGCAGGAGAACCUGCUGAAUUCAGAAGAAAUGGUAUCCUCUGGAUUCCAAGGAGGGGAUGAAAGACAGAACAAAGGAAUCGUAAAACAAACGAUAUCUCUACACAGCCAUUUGCAUACUUCCUCCAUGUUGAACAAUAACUUCUUAGAGUGACAUUUUAAGAAGACAUCACCACCUUUCUCACUAAAUGAAACGAUUCUCAAUCACUGCUCAAAACCAUUCUGGGUUUCUCAGCCCCAGGGGCUAUGAACCCUUCAUGGGAGCAGCGACCUCCUCGUACCCCCCCAGGAAAAAAGCAUCGUAUCUCUGAAGACAAAGGGACACCAAGAAGAAUCCUGACAGGCCUUGCUAAGCUUCCCCUGGUUUCCCACACUUACCUUAUACUCCUUGGCCUAUCAUACGUCUACACGACAGCCCUUUCUUCAUCAAACCCAGUGCGAAGAUAACUUGGGUCUAAUUGUUUCCUUGGGCCUUCAUUUCAUUUUGAAGGCAGUUACGUAACACUUUUCAUGAAAUUAUUCUGCAUGUUCUUUCUUGUUAAUUUGUCUUUUGUCUAAUUUUUAGAGCCAGCCAGGGACCCUAGGAGGGUUGAGGAAGCUCUUUCUUUCCCGACCCUUUCACGGGUUCGGACAGCUCCUCUGAGCUCCAUAUAUGGAUAGUUCCACCCCAGUGGCACUCAGGACCUCAGAAUCCCGAGCCGAUCCUAAACAGACCUCAUCUCGCAAAACGGAUUCCUCCUCUCUUAUUCCAUGUGGCCAUUAAGUUUGUUGCUUACAUCCUACCCCUUUCUGGAUUCAUUCACCGUCUCACCCGAACCAGAGACUCGGGUGUUAGCCUGAAUUCUUCCUUUCCCAAUCUCACUUCCAAAGAGUAACCAAGUACCGCAGGUCCUACCUUCCUACGGUGUUUUCUUAAUCCCUAUUGUUAAAACUUUCACCUAGGCCCAUUUCCUUUCUUGCCUGAAUUUUACCACAGCCUCCUCUGUGGCCUGUGAUCAAACUGCUGUGCUCGCUGCGACGAUUCUAACGGACAAGUCUGAUCCUGCCAGGACCUGUUCACAAGUCUCAGUGGCCCUCCACUUACAAGCCCUCCGUUACCUGGCCCCGGACUGCCCUGUCACCCUUACAUCCUGCCUCAGACACACCGUAUUUCAGACGCGCCAAAGUACUUACCUUUCCCCGAGCACCCCCAUCCAGCCCUUUAGCCACUCCAACUACCGUACCUGUGAAAAUUCUGUUCCCUCUUGCUCGGCAAACUCUUUAAGAUCUAUCUGUGGCAUCAACUCCUCUGGGAAAUCUUCCCCAACCAUCCCCGAGUAAAGACACUUUCCACUUC